rnacentral:lncRNA from 1 species
GGGCCCAGGUCUGAAGCAGGGCCUCUGCUGACUGCCUUUCUCUCUGUCUGCAAGAGGCUUCUCCCCGGGGGCCCUCAGAGCCCCCAUGUGGGGCAGGCCUAGCAAAUGUGGACGAAAUUAGAUGUACUUCAGAUUAGGGCAGGGCCAGGGCUGGGCUGAGUUUGUUUUAGUGAAAAGAAUGUAAUUCCACUGACUUCUGUUUUCAGUUCUGUUCUAAACUGAUGUUCUUUUGAGCCACAAGGAAUGACAACUGAAGCUGCUACGGACGAUCACAUGGGCCCACCAUACACUGCAACAUCAUUAGCAUCAUUCUGUUCAACAACGGGGACCCAAAGGGACUUUUAAAAAAACAAGGGUCUGUGUUAUAAUCUAUUGAUUUC